GGUAACGCGUGAGUAACCUGCCCAUAAGAGGGGGAUAACACAGAGAAAUCUGUGCUAAUACCGCAUAUUGAAUAUUUACCGCAUGGUUGAUAUUUGAAAGAUUUAUCGCUUAUGGAUGGACUCGCGUCUGAUUAGCUAGUUGGUGAGGUAAUGGCUCACCAAGGCGACGAUCAGUAGCCGAACUGAGAGGUUGAUCGGCCACAUUGGGACUGAGACACGGCCCAGACUCCUACGGGAGGCAGCAGUGGGGGAUAUUGCGCAAUGGGGGAAACCCUGACGCAGCAACGCCGCGUGAAGGAAGAAGGCCUUCGGGUUGUAAACUUCUUUUACCAGGGACGAAGAACGUGACGGUACCUGGAGAAAAAGCAACGGCUAACUACGUG
rnacentral:rRNA from 1 species